rnacentral:rRNA from 1 species
GAUGAACGCUGGCGGCGUGCCUAAUACAUGCAAGUCGAGCGAAUGGACGAGAAGCUUGCUUCUCUGAUGUUAGCAGCGGACGGGUGAGUAACACGUGGAUAACCUACCUAUAAGACUGGGAUAACUUCGGGAAACCGGAGCUAAUACCGGAUGAUAUUUUGAACCGCAUGGUUCAAAAGUGAAAGACGGUCUUGCUGUCACUUAUAGAUGGAUCCGCGCUGCAUUAGCUAGUUGGUAAGGUAACGGCUUACCAAGGCAACGAUGCAUAGCCGACCUGAGAGGGUGAUCGGCCACACUGGAACUGAGACACGGUCCAGACUCCUACGGGAGGCAGCAGUAGGGAAUCUUCCGCAAUGGGCGAAAGCCUGACGGAGCAACGCCGCGUGAGUGAUGAAGGUCUUCGGAUCGUAAAACUCUGUUAUUAGGGAAGAACAUAUGUGUAAGUAACUGUGCACAUCUUGACGGUACCUAAUCAGAAAGCCACGGCUAACUACGUG